rnacentral:rRNA from 1 species
GAGUUUGAUCGUGGCUCAGAUUGAACGCUGGCGGCAUGCCUUACACAUGCAAGUCGAACGGCAGCACGGGAGCUUGCUCCUGGUGGCGAGUGGCGAACGGGUGAGUAAUGCAUCGGAACGUAUCCUGGAGUGGGGGGAUAACGUAGCGAAAGUUACGCUAAUACCGCAUAAUUCUGUGAGCAGGAAAGCGGGGGACCUUCGGGCCUCGUCGCUCUUGGAGCGGCCGAUGUCGGAUUAGCUAGUUGGUGAGGUAAAGGCUCACCAAGGCGACGAUCCGUAGCAGGUCUGAGAGGAUGAUCUGCCACACUGGAACUGAGACACGGUCCAGACUCCUACGGGAGGCAGCAGUGGGGAAUAUUGGACAAUGGGCGAAAGCCUGAUCCAGCCAUGCCGCGUGUGUGAAGAAGGUCUUCGGAUUGUAAAGCACUUUAAGUUGGAGGAAGGGCAGUAAGUUAAUACCUUGCUGUUUGACGUUACGACUAGAAUAAGCACCGGCUAACU